CCUCAUAGCAGUGUUCUGGAAACCUACGUGAGGGACAAACAUUCAGACCACAGCAGGUGUGUUCUGGAAUCCUAUGUGAGGGA
rnacentral:pre_miRNA from 4 species